CUCAGUAGUAACUGGAGAAGUAUGUAGCUGAAGAUCACAAGCUCCCAGAGCGUUUUAAAUAUAAACCUGCCCUGUGUGUAUGUGACAGUCCCUGAAGGAACACAGUCCUCUUCGCCUUGCUACGGGUUUAUGCAGCGCCAAACCUGAGAGAGGCCACUUCGAGACACCUUGCUAAUUCUCAAACCCAGCUACUUUAGGGUCAGGAGAUGGAUGGCUCAAACUAACCUUUGCCCGAAAUCAACUAAGUUUCAGGAUGGCCUUCUGUUUGUGACAAUGAGUCAGAAGAGAAACAGGGCAUCCCCUUUCCCACCCCGUUUUGAGGUGCUAAAAACUAGAAUCUGAGAGACUGGCCUUGUGAUGCUAAUUCCUUAGGUUUCUCCGUCUGAAGAAUGAGGAAAUUCAACUAAGUGAUGUCUGAAGUCCCUGUUAGCUCCAGAAAUAACGGAUGUUGACUUGGAAGACUAGGUCCCUGGAGCACCCUUCCUCUGGUUUCCAGAGGGGGUUCCUGUAGAAACGAAGAGCAUGGCCACAACGAGGGACGCUGUAUCCUCGCUGCUGUCACUCUGGAAGGGGGUGCAUCCCUGGACUGCUGCAGGUCCAACAAGCAGUGGUCUUUUCCAAAGCUAUCAUUUAUCCAUCACUCUCUGGGCCUGGCAGUAGAAAUGGCAUCCUGCUCCACCCACUGCAUGGGCUCCUCAGCACCGUCUAUUGCUGUCUUUUACCCUGUCCCCACCAUUAAAA
rnacentral:lncRNA from 1 species